ACGCGGCACCACCCUCCGGCUAUAACAGCUGCUGGGUUCUUCUCUGAGCUCCGCCAGGGUAGCGGGUUCCUAAAAGUCCCUCUGAGGGUUCCGCGGUGACCUGAUGUCCAGCCCUCAGUCGCCGCCCCCAGGAUUCUCCCAGCUUGUCUGCGCUGAUUCCGGGGCUCCGCUUCCCUUCCGCCAGGUUCAGCCCGCGAGCUCGGCCCUCCCACCUGUGAGGUGCCUGGUGCCCAGGCGGGGAUGAGGGCGGCGGACCGAAACCCGGACCGAGAGUCCCCGAGCCUCGCCACCUGACCGCACCUCUCCAGGACUCUGGGCCCGGCUUCUUGUAAACUACCCGCUCCUCAUAGACCCUGAACGGCUGCCAGCCGGAGAGUUAUUCAACUGCAGGGAGGAAAGGGCUGCAUGUGGAAGUUACUGGGUGAGGGGUUGAGUCGGAGCUGCACCUGCGGCUUACACCACAGCCACAGCCGCAGCCACAACAACAUGAGAUCUGCCCCAGCUUGUGGCAACACCGGAUCCUUAACCCACUGAGAGGGGCCAGGGAUUGAACCUGGGUCCUCAUGGAUACCAGUCAGGUUCGUUACCACUGAGCCACAAGAGGAACUUCUAAAAUGAUGUUUUUUAAAUGAAACUUCUGAAUCUUGUGCCUGAUUUCAUUUCUUUCUUUGUUUUCGCUACCCCAUAGCUCAGAGCCAUUUUUUUUUUUUUUAACUCAUCUACAGCUGGCUGAUAAACAAGUCCUGUUACACUGGCUCUCUGGGGGGGAAAAAAAAAACCAAAAAAGUUCUGGCAUGUAGCAUUGUUGGUUUCUGUAGUAUAAAUAUUUCCAUCAUGGUCAAUGUCAAGCUACCAAUAGUUAACAACUGCCUUUCAAAAUUCCCGAAUGUGGAGUUCUCGUCUUGGUGCAGUGGAAAUGAAUCCAACCAGGAACCAUCCCUGGCCUCGCUCAGUGGGUUAAGGAUCUGGUGUUGCCUUGAGCAGCUCAGAUCCUGUAUUGCUGUGGCUGUGGCAUAGACCAGCAGCUAUUGCUCUGACUGGACCCUUAGUCUUAGAACUUCCAUAUGCCAUGGGUGUGGGCCUAAAAAGCAAAUAAAUAAAUAAAUAAAAAUUUCCUGAAUGUCUUACAAAUUGCUCUUGUUAGGCGGCACAGGACAGCUCCAGCAUAUCACUUUUUUUUUUUUUUAAAUGAUAUUCAUACCCCUUGGCUUCAUUAUUUCUUAUUUUUAUUUUCUCUUUGUUCCAAUUUCUUUUUCUUCUUUUUAAAUUGUGCCUGCCCCUAUAAGCUGCAUUAAGUCCUUUUUGGAAUGAGGAGCACAAGAACGCAAUUCUUUGGCUAAUAAAGAAAACGAUGGCCAUCUAA